rnacentral:lncRNA from 1 species
AGAAGAGAGUUUUCGCAUGCUCGAAUUCUUCGAUGAGGUUUACUUAUGAUUCGUACUCUUAUGCACAGAAUUUUGACCAGGGCACAGAUGUUGAUCAUGAUGACCUGAUCUCAAGAUCAUUUUCAGCUCGUUUUGCUGUUCCAUCAAGAAUCUUUGAGAAGAAUAUAUUAUCAUAAUUAAGUAGUUUUUAACUUUCAAUUGUACUGUAUAGAACUCCAUUUUCGAACUUUGUUCUUCUUCUUUAUGAAGUAAAGAAAGAUGGUUUUGAAGAUUCUAUAGUUUUCUAGACAGAUAAAAGACUUUUGAGCACCCUCAUAUUGUCUUUUGUGUAUUGAUUAUGAAGCAAUUCAUAGAUAGUAAAAGGAUUAAUCAUUUUUCUUAUU